UACGGAGGGGGCUAGCGUUGUUCGGAAUUACUGGGCGUAAAGGGCGUGUAGGCGGCGCGGUAAGUCAGGCGUGAAAGCCCCGGGCUCAACCUGGGAAUUGCGCUUGUUACUGCCGUGCUCGAGUCCGGGAGAGGAUAGCGGAAUUCCCAGUGUAGAGGUGAAAUUCGUAGAUAUUGGGAAGAACACCAGUGGCGAAGGCGACUAUCUGGACCGGCACUGACGCUGAGGCGCGAAAGCGUGGGGAGCAAACAGG
rnacentral:rRNA from 1 species